GACGUGCGAGCUCGAUGAGGAAGCAGCGACGCGGAGCAGCUGCGGCGGUGAGCCACGCUCCUCCUGCUGAGGACCGAGAGGGCGGGGAGGAGACGACGCGAUGGCCCGGCAGGGAGCGGACGCGCGGCGGCUAGGGUUUCAUGGGAGCGCGACGCAUCUGGUUGGUGGGGAGGACGGAGCCGAGGGAGGCAGCCAUGGGAGAGUGCUGCGCGUCGCCGGCAGCCGCCGGAAUCGGCCGGGACCGGCCGGCGUAGGUUGUGGCUGCGAGGGCCUGCGGGAGGGAGAGAGGGAGGGGAAGAGGAGAGGGGCUGGCGCGAGGGGGGCGAAUGGGGUGCU
rnacentral:rRNA from 1 species